UCAUAUUUUUCUAGUUUUGAAGAUGGAUGGUGAGAGGGCCAUUUGCUCCCAUUUGAUUCUCUUUUGGCUGAACUUGUCUUUCGUUCAUGUAUAAUAAUUAAUAAAAUGUAUACGUUUUUUUUUCCUCUUCAACGAUGCCAUUCUUCCUUUUGUCCGUUUUAACAUGCACAACACGUUAAACGGCGUACGGCGUCGUUUUUGUACGUCUCUGUUAUUUUUCAUGUUCACAGGGAUAUCCUUUUGUUUUUUGUUUGGAGAGACAACAGGUCUUGCCUUUGGUGCGCAGACGUAUGGUUCCCCUGUAGUUCCUUUCUCAAAAUCCUUUUUUUUUGUUGCUUUUUUUUCCCUCUUAUUUAUUGAAAACUUUGGUAGGGAUUACUUUGCAUGCCUUUGAUAAUUUUCGGUUUGUUCCUUUUCAAACAAGGAUCGAAUUUCAGCUUACUCCAUAUAUUUUCUUCUUCAAAUCAGUUUUGUUCUAUUUGAUUUGACAACGAACGAUGCUUUGAGGAUGGUGGUGGUUGGAUUGUGCUGGUUUUAGUACAGCUCUAUGGUGAUUUCUCUGUCAUUUUCUUAUAGCUUUGAGACACAGUGCUUCCUUUUUGGAAAAUGAAUGUAGGAAAAUGAAAAAAGAAAAAAAAAAAUCAGAACAAUGUCAAGAAACAAUGCCAAAUCCAAUACAAAAGAAAGACGAGUAGAUGCAUUUUUCUUUCCAUGGUUGAAAUUCUUAAUCUUGAUAAUAUUUUUAAUCAUUUUAAUAAAAAAAAAACUUUUUCAUUUGUAGUAAUGGUUAAUGAUUCUG
rnacentral:misc_RNA from 1 species